GGAAGUAAAGUCGUAACAAGGUUUCCGUAGGUGAACCUGCGGAAGGAUCAUUAUUGUAUAACCGAGGUGCGAGGGCUGUCGCUGACCCGAAAGGUCGUGCACGCCCGAGUGCCCUCACACACAUCCAUCUCACCCCUAUGUGCACCACCGCGUGGGUCCCCCUUUGGCUUGUUCGGAGGGGGGCUUACGUUUUCACACAAACUUUGUAUGCAGUGUAGAAUGUAUUUUUUGUUUUUGCGAUCACGCAAUCAAUACAACUUUCAACAACGGAUCUCUUGGCUCUU
rnacentral:misc_RNA from 1 species